GCAGACGUACCCAAGUGGUUACGGGGCUCGCCUGCUAAGCGAGUGUGCUCUGCAUGCGCAGGUUCAAACCCUGCCGUCUGCG